ACAUAGUUAUUACAACCUAGAUAUGCCUACUAUUACAAUAUUACAAUAUUUACAUUCUAUUACAAUCAAACAGAAGAGACAGCUCUUUGCUGAGUAGAGCUAUAUGGUUUCGAACUUCAAAUUUUGUAGACCUCGAGCUCCUGAACACAAAGACAAGCAUCAUUAGAGAUUAGAGUGUACACAUGCUAGGACUAGCAUUGGUUAAAAAUAACUAAUAAUCACAUGAUGAAGUCCUAGAAUGAAAUUUCAGUAGUGACCAGAUCUAGAUCUAUAGGAAACAGAACAGCCAUGACAAAAUCCUAACCAGAAUGCAUUUAAUAAAAAUGGAUUGCAUCUGGUUACUGUAGUGCAAGCUAAUGACAUGAAGGUUCCAUCAGGCAAUGAUCAACUACUCAAAACCAUUCCGUGCUUUGCAAAAAAAUACUAGAUGAAUCUCACUAACACGAGCACUAGGCGAUUAAUAGAAGAAGUAAUCAGCAGAUGACACAAUAACAAGUGAAGGAUUUAUCUAUGUCCCUCUGGAAGAGAUCUAAAUCAGGGUAUGUAAAUGGUUCAUCAUCAGCUAGUAAAAGGUAGAUGUGAGUUUGUAGCCAUACCGACAUGGUUGGUUGCAAUCUUGCCAUCCUUUGAGGGAGAAAGGUAUUGCCAUCACCCCUGCAUUGUUGCUGCCAGAAAAAGCACCAUGUAAUCAGGGGGUGUGGUGAGCCAUUAAGUACAUUUCAACAGAUGUGAGAGCAAGCAGGCAUGAA
rnacentral:lncRNA from 1 species